UAAUUGUGGAUUAAACGGAGGAUUAAGAACCAAAUUAAUAUUGGACCCUGGGGGUGACAUGAAAACGGAUAGUGUAUGUGUGCCAAGCUCCAAGAUGAGUUCACAUGCCACUCGGGUCACCGAAUCCAUGGCCAUGUCACUACAGAGAGAUUCCAAGGUUAACACAGCUCAGCAUGAACAUCCCUAAGAAAUCAAACUCCACAUUCUUCCGGCGUUCAACAAUCGUCCAGAACGCGACCUUGCUUUGGCUUCGAAACGAAAAAUACGAAAAACUCACGCUAAAGAUUGAAACACAAACUCACCUUCGGUGGCUGUUCGAAUCAACAUGAAUUUGAAAUCGACUUCUCCGAUCUGUUUUGUCGUCGGUGACGCGUUGAAUGAACAAUGACGAUGAUGCUCCGAUUCGAAAUUUCGACGCAAGGUUAUGAUCUUCUCCUUUGGUUAUGCUCCGUCGUCAUCGUCCGUCGAUUCUGUUAUGGCGUCGUCGCUUUGACGUUGCAUGGUAUAAGUGUUGCGAGUCGUUAUUGCCGAUGGAUUGUGCUGUGGCGUUGCAGUGAAGAGGGAAAGGCGUUGGAUCCUUUCUUUGAAGAGGGAAGAUAAUCGCUUCUGAGUUCCGCCGAAUCCCGAACAAUGAAGUCCUUUCCCUGAAACCGACUUGACAUUGCUAUGCUUGGACUGCACGAACUCGGUCUACAUCGAUUAUGUGGAGUGCUAAGGAUUUGAGGAUCAUACACUUCAACCCUCUUUCCAUUCUAUUGCUAUGUUUCCGCAGGGUAUUUGUUGUACCGACCAUUGGCUGAAAACAAUGCCCUUGGAUCCGGAGGAGCGGAGAUUUUCAAAUUCAUUCAAAGGACCAGUUACCUUGCAUGACUCUACCCGGUUCUCCUCGAUAUCCACCUGAAGUCGAAUCUCAGUAGGGGCGGUGAUAACAUCCUGCUUGCUGACCAUUUUCCUACAAACAGGACAUAAACCAGAGGUAGAAUUUCGCCAACUUGUCAAGAGGCAUUCCUGGCAAAGGCGGUGAGCACAUGGUGUCAACACUGCAUCUUCAAAUGCUUCAAGACAUAUUGGACACUCUCCCUGUUCCCUUUACGUAGCUCUUCCAUAACUUCAUGAACAUAAGCUCGUGAGAGUGCACCUUUUUCUUCACCUUCUGAAGCAUUACUGGUUCCUUUGACUGUUUUGUAUAUUGUUGAACGAAUUUUGUUACUAGCGAGUACUGUUGUGGUUUUGAGCGAUUUUAGAUCACCUUAGAAUCCUUCUCUUUUCCAUUUUUGCAGGUUUUCUCCUUUAUGCUAUUGGAGCUGUUUUUGAUUUGUUGCUGCGUAUUGAUUGUUGUCUUCGUUUUGCUUCGCCCUAGCUUGCGUUGUAGCUUAUUGUAGCUUACGUGGGCUGCAUUUUGUAUUGCAGCAUCGUGGCUUUUCCAUUUCAGCUUGUAGUUUUAUUCCUGGUUUUGGUGAAGUGAUUCUGUUGGGCUGCAUUGCACCAUGGGUAAAAAUCCAAGAUUCCGACUUUGGUUCGUUGCGGUUUCAGCUUUUCAUCUGGUUUUGAUUAAGCUUGAAAUGACGGUGAAUGAAAUGUGCGACUAAUGGACUGUUAUGCAUGAGCUACCCCAGAAUUUUUGGAUUUUUGGAAUGCUUUUGAUCUGAAAUUUUGGGAUUCAAGAUUGUGGUAAUGUAGGAUUUAAAUGAUUGUAAGAAAUGUUGCAAAUUUGAAAUUGAAUGCAUGGGAAAUUGAGUUGUAUUAAAAUUGGUUAAAUGCUGUGGAAUUGGAAUGUUUGAAAUUGAAUGUAAUGAGUGAUUAAAUUGUAUUAAAA